AACAUAUCCAUGUCAAAAGAGGACAAUUUCCAAAGAGAUAAAGUUUCAAAAUGUAAGGAAGAAUAUACGAAUUCAUAGACGUAAUAUCAUUAGGUGCAGAAUCACAAUUGUCAUUUCAAUCAUACAUAUUUGGUUUAUAACAGAUGGGGCAUAGAGUAAUUGGAGCAUAUCAGCAACGAAUGAAACGUUUCGGAGCAUAUCAAUAACAAAUAAAACAUUUUGGAGCUUAUCAAUGACGUAUGAAAUGUUCCGAAGCAUAUCAACGACGUAUGGAACAUUUCGAAGCAUAUCAACAAUGAAUGAAACAUUUCGGAGCUUAUCAA
rnacentral:lncRNA from 1 species